AAAUAACCAUUCUCUAUAUCCAUUAAUUGAAAAGGUUUAGAUGGUCUCCAAAUCCCAUAUAGUCUAUUAUGCAAAGUCGUGAUUCCAAGGUUCCAACCAAGCAUCUUGAGUACCACAUAGGUUUACAUUUCCUUUUCCAAGAGCUGAUAUACUCUCUCCGAGAAAUCGAUUGAAGGAACACUACCAACAAACGAUUUCUUGACAUCCUACUCUAUGAGGGAUAAUUUAUCAACGAGGAAUUGGCCACCAUUUGUAUUGUUCUGCACAAAAGUAUCCUUUCCCAC
rnacentral:lncRNA from 1 species